UACGUAGGGGGCAAGCGUUGUCCGGAAUCAUUGGGCGUAAAGAGCGUGUAGGCGGCUCGAUAAGUCCGCUGUGAAAGUCCAGGGCUCAACCCUGGAAUGCCGGUGGAUACUGUCGAGCUAGAGUCCGGAAGAGGCAAGUGGAAUUCCUGGUGUAGCGGUGAAAUGCGCAGGUAUCAGGAGGAACACCGAUAGCGAAGGCAGCUUGCUGGGACGGUACUGACGCUGAGACGCGAAAGCGUGGGGAGCAAACAGG
rnacentral:rRNA from 1 species